rnacentral:rRNA from 1 species
UUACCUCAGUAACGGCGAGUGAAGCGGUAACAGCUCAAAUUUGAAAUCUGGCUCCUACGGAGUCCGAGUUGUAAUUUGUAGAAGAUGCUUUGGGAGGUAGGGCCGGCCUAAGUUCCUUGGAACAGGACAUCAGAGAGGGUGAGAAUCCCGUAUGUGGCCGUGGCCUACGCCCGUGUAAAGCUCUUUCGACGAGUCGAGUUGUUUGGGAAUGCAGCUCAAAAUGGGUGGUAAAUUUCAUCUAAAGCUAAAUAUUGGCCAGAGACCGAUAGCGCACAAGUAGAGUGAUCGAAAGAUGAAAAGCACUUUGGAAAGAGAGUUAAACAGUACGUGAAAUUGUUGAAAGGGAAGCGCUUGCAACCAGACUUGGGUGUCGUGGAUCAUCCGAGGUUCUCCUCGGUGCACUCGACGAUGCGCAGGCCAGCAUCGGUUUGGGUGGUUGGAGAAAGGCUCUAGGAACGUAGCUCUCUUCGGGGAGUGUUAUAGCCUAGGGCGCAAUGCAGCCCAUCCGGACCGAGGACCGCGCCUUCGGGCUAGGAUGCUGGCGUAAUGGUUGUAAGCGACCC